rnacentral:rRNA from 1 species
GACGAACGCUGGCGGCGUGCCUAAUACAUGCAAGUAGAACGCUGAAGACUUUAGCUUGCUAAAGUUGGAAGAGUUGCGAACGGGUGAGUAACGCGUAGGUAACCUGCCUACUAGCGGGGGAUAACUAUUGGAAACGAUAGCUAAUACCGCAUAACAGCAUUUAACCCAUGUUAGAUGCUUGAAAGGAGCAAUUGCUUCACUAGUAGAUGGACCUGCGUUGUAUUAGCUAGUUGGUGAGGUAACGGCUCACCAAGGCGACGAUACAUAGCCGACCUGAGAGGGUGAUCGGCCACACUGGGACUGAGACACGGCCCAGACUCCUACGGGAGGCAGCAGUAGGGAAUCUUCGGCAAUGGGGGCAACCCUGACCGAGCAACGCCGCGUGAGUGAAGAAGGUUUUCGGAUCGUAAAGCUCUGUUGUAAGAGAAGAACGUGUGUGAGAGUGGAAAGUUCACACAGUGACGGUAACUUACCAGAAAGGGACGGCUAACUACGUGCCAGCCGCCGCCGUAACAC